UCUAUGUUUUGGACUGCUUUGUGUUAGCUUUUUAUCUUAUAUCUAUACACCCGUGCCCAACAACAUUGAAGAAACCUGGAAAGUAAUGGCCUUGGAUGCGAUUGCUAAAACUUGUAACCUUGUGGCCACAUUCUGUGAUAACAUAGGUCUCAUGAAAUAUGAAGAUGUACUAGUAAUUUUAGCAUCAGUUCACUUUACAAAAGCAGUUUCAGAUGAAAACAUUACAGUUAUUGACACAGACUUCAGCCACAUUCCUGUUCGUCUGUACUUGCCAAAGAGGAAGCCUGAAAGACAGAGACCAGCUGUGAUUUUUAUUCAUGGUGGUGCCUUUGUCUUGGGAAGCUACAGUAAAUGAGUAUAUGUUGCUAAUUAAGAGAAUAAUUGACAUUCAACAAUAAAUUCUGUUAAAAUUUCAGGAAAGUAUUUUCUUUUUCUACCUCCUUUAAGUGUAUAAACUAUUUAGCUACAGUUAAUUUUGUAAGAAAUAAUAAGUGCAAGAGCACAUUCUUAUUCUAGUAAAAAUUAAAAUUGUCAAUUAUAUACAGAAUGGCAGCCUAAAGUUUAAUUGUAAAUUUAUUAAAUUGCCUGAACUUAUAUAAAUAUGUAAGCCUCUGGCCAAAAAAAACAAAAACAAAAAACAAAAAACAAAAAAAAAAAAACAAAAACAAAAAACAAUUCAUUAGUUCUAACUGUACUAAAUAAUACACCCUGUCUUACAUUUAAGUUUAUAUUGUUUCAUUGAGAACUUCCUUCAAUAAAUAAAAAUUAUAGUGAAUCUCUAAAUUUGUCAAAAUUAUAAUGGAGCCUACAAUGUUUUCUUCAACACAAUUGCAUAUUUUCUAAUAGGUCUCCCAAGAGUUUUAUGGAGUAUAUUGGUAAUGAGUUGCAGACAAUCUUCUUCAUGAGCUCAGAGAGAAUGUUGCCUGUGACAAUAAGUGAUUACUGAGUUCCAAUCAAUGGAUCAAUCAGUCAUCAGUCAAUUAGUCAGUCAACUCACCAAACACAUUUCACACUUCUAGCAUAUUCAUGACUGUUUCUGUGUUUCCAUUGUUUGCUAUUUACAGUGAACCACUUUUUAUUUAUUCCUUUCAUUUCAGAGAUAUCAGCCUAUGAUGAUCUGAACAGAUGGACAGCAAACAAGCUUGAUGCUGUUGUUGUGGGAAUAGACUACAGGCUUGCUCCUCAGUAUCCAUUCCCAGCUGCCCUUGAAGACUGUGUUCAUGUGAUCAAGUUCUUUCUCCAGGAAAAUAUUCUUGCAAAAUACAGAGUGGAUCCCACACGCAUCUGCAUUAUGGGAGACAGUUCUGGGGGUGCCUUGGCAGCAACAGUGACUCAACUGCUACAGAAUGAUCCAAGUUUUAAAGGCAGAAUUAAAGCACAAGCCUUGAUGUAUCCUGGACUUCAGCUGCUUGAUACUUUGCUACCUUCUCAUCAAGAGUAUCAACAUGGUCCAAUUCUGACCAGGGAGAUGAUAAUUAAGUUGGCAUGCCUAUAUGUGACUGAAGACAAAGUUCUACUCCAGGCUGCACUGAGAAAUGAGCAUAUGCCAACAGAGUCAAGACACCUGUUCAAGUUUGUUAACUGGAGUGACUUCCUUCCUGAGAAGUACAAAAAGAACUACGUUUAUACUGAACCAGUUCUUGGAAAAUUGAAUGCUUCCUAUCCAGUACUUGUGGAUAGCAGGUUGUGCCCUUUGCUAGUCAAUGACACCCAGUUACAGAGUUUGCCUUUAACAUACAUUGUCACUUGUGAACAUGAUCUCUUAAGAGAUGAUAGUCUUAUUUACGUUUCACGGCUUAGAAAUGUUGGAGUGAAAGUUACUCAUGAGCAUAUAGAGAAAGGAAUACAUGGAGCCCUAUCAUUCACCAAAGCUCCAGUAUUUUUAAAUUUAGGAUUAAAAAUAAGAGAUAAGUAUAUUAAUUGGUUAGAAGAAAAUUUAUAAGUCAAUAAAGCAUGUAGCUGGGUAAUCAAUAAAGAAAUGUGACAGUUAUAUUUUGAAAAAUUGUAUGACAAAUGGGCACAAAAUUAACUGACUUGUGGAUAAAGCUUCCUUUCAAAUUGGGUAAAGGUUACUGUAUAUGUAUAUUGAGAAAGUGACUUCACUUACUUGAUCUUAGAAAUACUGUUAAAGUGAGAAUACUUCAUUAUUCAUAUUAAUUUCUAUUUGUGGUGAAAAAUGUACUUUGAGUAGUUAAGAAUGUCAGAAGAAUUGAAAAAAACUGUUUGUUUACAUGCCAACCCUUUUUAGAUGUUUCAUGGCAGACAAAUUUGGAAUGUAUUACAUGAAGAAAACCAUUCCCAGUAAAAAUGGAAUGGAAUCAUGAGGACUGGAUGGGUUGGCACAUUACUCUCCAGGAGCCCAGUUGCAGAGAGGCAGUCAGGUAGACAGAUCUUUGUGAGUUUAAGACUAGGUUGAUUUAUGCAGCUAGUUCUAGGACAGCCAAAGCUGUUUAGUGACAUAUUAUUUUUAAAAAAGGAAUAAAAAGAGGAGUAAAGAAAAACAACCAUGAAUGAGGAGAAAAUGUGAUAGGUACAAUUGUAAUGGUAUUUGUAUGGCUUGAGUAUUAUAAUGUGCUGUGUUUUCCAACCAUGUGCUCUCUAUCCAUUAGCAUAAUCUGCUCUAGGUGAAUUAAGUUAUUUGUUUUCACUCACUCCUCAUAAAAUUUAUAUUCUGCUUUUUAUAGGAACACUUUGUAUUUUGCAGGAAGUUAACUUGAUCAUGAGUUGUUCCUAAAGAUUGAACAUUUAUGCCUUAAACUCUUAUAAGAUCAAACUGAUGGAAACCUAUGUAGAUUUUAUUUAUUGUGGAACAAUGCCUCUUAAUGCAUGAUGGUAUCUAACCAACUAUAAAUUGUAAGUAGAAAUAUUUAUAGUAUUCUUUUGAAUUUUUAAUGAAACAUUAUGUAUGCAGAGACUGUAUAUUCAGAGAGUUAUGUGAGUUGAUGAUCUCCAUACAUGUUUGCUUCCCUGUAAUGAUAGAACACAUAUUCCUUUAAGUACCAAUCAACUUGGAUGCUUUAAAAUCAAUACUAAUUCUCUUAUGUCCUGGU